GUGGGGAAUUUUGGACAAUGGGCGAAAGCCUGAUCCAGCAAUGCCGCGUGAGUGAAGAAGGCCUUCGGGUUGUAAAGCUCUUUUGUCAGGGAAGAAACGGGAGUGGCUAAUAUCCAUUCCUAAUGACGGUACCUGAAGAAUAAGCACCGGCUAACUACGUGCCAGCAGCCGCGGUAAUACGUAGGGUGCAAGCGUUAAUCGGAAUUACUGGGCGUAAAGCGUGCGCAGGCGGUUUUGUAAGUCUGUCGUGAAAUCCCCGGGCUCAACCUGGGAAUUGCGAUGGAGACUGCAAGGCUAGAAUCUGGCAGAGGGGGGUAGAAUUCCACGUGUAGCAGUGAAAUGCGUAGAGAUGUGGAGGAACACCGAUGGCGAAGGCAGCCCCCUGGGUCAAGAUUGACGCUCAUGCACGAAAGCGUGGGGAGCAAACAGGAUUAGAAACCCGAGUAGUCC
rnacentral:rRNA from 1 species